CAGCCGCCGCGGUAAUACGUAUGUCGCAAGCGUUAUCCGGAUUUAUUGGGCGUAAAGCGCGUCUAGGUGGUUUGAUAAGUCUGAUGUGAAAAUGCGGAGCUCAACUCCGUAUUGCGUUGGAAACUGUCAAACUAGAGUAUCGGAGAGGUGGGCGGAACUACAAGUGUAGAGGUGAAAUUCGUAGAUAUUUGUAGGAAUGCCGAUAGAGAAGUCAGCUCACUGGACGAAUACUGACACUGAAGCGCGAAAGCAUGGGGAGCAAACAGGAUUAGAUACCCUGGUAGUCCAUGCCGUAAACGAUGAUUACUAAGCGUCGGGGGUCGAACCUCGGCACUCAAGCUAACGCGAUAAGUAAUCCGCCUGGGGAGUACGUACGCAAGUAUGAAACUCAAAGGAAUUGACGGGGACCCGCACAAGUGGUGGAGCAUGUGGUUUAAUUCGACGCAACGCGAGGAACCUUACCAGCGUUUGACAUCCUAAGAAUGAAAAAGAGAUUUUUCAGUGCUCCUUCGGGAGAACUUAGAGACAGGAGGUGCAUGGCC
rnacentral:rRNA from 1 species